GACGAACGCUGGCGGCGUGCCUAAUACAUGCAAGUCGAACGGGGAACACAGACGGAAGUUUUCGGAUGGAAGGAAGUGUUCUUAGUGGCGGACGGGUGAGUAACGCGUGAGCAAUCUGCCCAUAAGAGGGGGAUAACAGUUAGAAAUGACUGCUAAUACCGCAUAAGACCACACUACCGCAUGGUAGAGGGGUCAAAGAUUUAUCGCUUAUGGAGGAGCUCGCGUCCCAUUAGGUAGUUGGUAGGGUAACAGCCUACCAAGCCUGCGAUGGGUAGCCGGCCUGAGAGGGUGAACGGCCACACUGGAACUGAGAGACGGUCCAGACUCCUACGGGAGGCAGCAGUAGGGAAUAUUGGGCAAUGGGGAAACCCUGACCCAGCAACGCCGCGUGAGGGAAGAAGGCCUAACGGUGUAAACCUCUGUCAUAUGGGAAGAAGGAAUGACAGUACCAUAUGAGAAGCUCCGGCUAACUACGUGACCAGCAGCCGCGGUAACUACGUAGCGU
rnacentral:rRNA from 1 species